AGGCAGAUGAGCUCAGGGUGCCCAGAGUAACAGACAUUUUUCUUCAAAGCGGUCUCCCCCGGGAAGAUGAAAUAUUCAUUCCAGCGGUUGCUGCUGCUGCAAAGGCUUUCUGCAGAGCGUCUUCGGGAGCUGCCUUACGAGCCCCACAAGGCUCGAGAGCUAACGAGCUCAUAAUCAUCAUAACCACACUCGAUCAUACAUCAAAAGCAGUUUAACUCAGCGGAGUGACCUGGCCUACUUCCACAGCCUCUAUGUUAGCUGGCAUCUGGCUUUGUUCGUGGGCUAAGUUGCUCUGUGACUCCGAGCUGGGCUAAGUACCUGGAUGUACCAACACAGAAGGGAGCAAACUGGGGGACGUCUGGGCCAGCCUCCUUGGGUUUGAGUUCUAACUCGCCACUAACUGUAAGACUGUGCUUCAAUUUCCCACUCAAGAACACUCAAGAGUUCUCUCGGGGGCUACACUAGUUAAUACCUGCAUGCAACAGGCAAUGCCUGGGGCCACGCUGAGGCCCUCGUGGUGUGAGUUCUUCUUAUAAGAGAUGUGAAUGAGUCAGUUUAGUAUCACCUGGCUUUCAAAGAUCUGAAAGAGGGAUACUCAAAAAAUAAUUUCUGUUAAGGAAUCAGUUUGUUAAGGACUGGAGAUAUGGUUGCUUCUGAGGUUAAGCACACUCACUGUGCUUCCAGAGGACCAGAGUUCAGUUCCUGGCACCCCUAUCAGGCACCACACAACCACUUGUAGAUCUAAGGGGUCUGC
rnacentral:lncRNA from 1 species